rnacentral:lncRNA from 1 species
CAGAACGGCUAUCCCCAAGAAUACCAAAGCCAGUAAAUGCUGCUGAGGAUGCACGGUUAAAGGGCAAUGUAACUCGUCCAACCACUGUGGAAGUCAGUACAGAAGCAGAAGAAUCUAGACCUGGAGACACAAGCCCAGAGCAAGAAAUUACAAAAACAGCAUGUUAAAGUGAUCAAAUAGAAUAAAAUGAUGUGGUAUGGCCGACUAAGCAGUUCUGCAUAACCAAAACAUGAACAAUUUCAAAGUGAAUUCCCAGGAAACCAAAAUAUUGAGUGGCAUAAAAGAAAGAGGACAAAAAUUCACAGCAGUGGGUAAAAGUGACAGAUGAGCUAGUUUUCGGGAUCACUGCAAGCAGAUACAAGCGUCAUCGAGGACCUGGGACCUGUGAGGGUCCGAUUAAGGGAUGAUUGGAUCUAGAGAUUCUGGGUAUGUACUAUACUGGAAGCAUGUCCACUAAGACAAUUAGUGAUAAAAAUCUCCUUAAAACUGGGACUUCUGGC